rnacentral:rRNA from 1 species
AUUGAACGCUGGCGGCAGGCCUAACACAUGCAAGUCGAACGCGCGGCGGACGGGUGAGUAAUGUGUGGGGAUCUACCCGAUAGAGGGGGAUAACUACUGGAAACUGUCGCUAAUACCGCAUACUAUCAGAUGAACCCAUCUGGGAUUAGCUAGUGGGUGGGGUAAAGGCUCACCUAGGCGACGAUCUCUAGCUGGUCUGAGAGUAUGAUCAGCCACACUGGGACUGAGACACGGGCCAGACUCCUACGGGAGGCAGCAGGGGGGAAGAUUGCGCAAUGGGCGCAAGCCUGACGCAGCCAUGCCGCGUGUAUGAAGAAGGCCUUAGGGUUGUAAAGUACGUUCAGCGGGGAGGCGUUACCCGCAGAAGAAGCACCGGCUAACUCCGUGCCAGCAGCCGCGGUAAUAC